CCUACGGGUGGCAGCAGUGAGGAAUAUUGGUCAAUGGCCGGAAGGCUGAACCAGCCAUGCCGCGUGAAGGUCAGUGCCCUAUGGGCGUUAAACUUCUUUUGUGCGGGAGCAAUAAUGGUCACGUGUGGCCAGACGAGAGUACCGUACGAAUAAGCCACGGCUAACUACGUGCCAGCAGCCGCGGUAAUACGUAGGUGGCAAGCGUUAUCCGGAUUUACUGGGUGUAAAGGGCGAGUAGGCGGGAUUGCAAGUCAGAUGUGAAAACUAUGGGCUCAACCGAUAGAGUGCAUUUGAAACUGCAGUUCUUGAGUGAUGGAGAGGCAGGCGGAAUUCCCGGUGUAGCGGUGGAAUGCGUAGAUAUCGGGAGGAACACCAGUGGCGAAGGCGGCCUGCUGGACAUUAACUGACGCUGAGGCGCGAAAGCGUGGGGAGCAAACAGGAUUAGAUACCCGAGUAGUC
rnacentral:rRNA from 1 species